GGGGACAGUAGCCAUGCAGGCAAAUCCGUGUGGCAAUACGAAGGCGUGACGCGGACCGAAAUAAAGUAGGGAAGCAUGUGAGCCAUGUGCCAAGAAAAGCCGCUAUAGAUCAUAUCGUACCCGUACCGUAAACCGACACAGGUAGAUGAGGAGAGAAUCCUAAGGCCGACGGGAGAACCAUUGUUAAGGAACUCGGCAAAAUGACCCCGUAACUUCGGGAGAAGGGGUGCCCACGCGAGUGGGCCGCAGAGAAUAGGCUCAAGCAACUGUUUAGCAAAAACACAGGUCUAUGCGAAACCGAAAGGUGAGGUAUAUGGGCUGACGCCUGCCCGGUGCUGGAAGGUUAAGAGGAGGAGUCAGGCAACGAAGCUCCGAAUUUAAGCCCCAGUAAACGGCGGCCGUAACAAUAACGGUCCUAAGGUAGCGAAAUUCCUUGUCGGGUAAGUUCCGACCCGCACGAAAGGCGUAAUGAUUUGAGCACUGUCUCGACAAUGCACCCGGUGAAAUUGAAGUACCAGUGAAGAUGCUGGUUACCUGCGCCAGGACGGAAAGACCCCAUAGAGCUUUACUCCAGUUUGAUACUGGGAUUCGAUACUGAAUGUACAGGAUAGGUGGGAGGCUGAGAAGCGUGGACGCCAGUCUGCGGUGAGCCGCUGUUGGGAUACCACCCUUUGAGUAUUGGAUUUCUAACCUGCGCCCGUGACCCGGGCGGGGGACAAUGUCUGACGGGGAGUUUGACUGGGGCGGUCGCCUCCGAAAGGGUAUCGGAGGCGCUCAAAGGUUCCCUCAGAAUGGUUGAAAACCAUUCGCAGAGUGCAAAGGCAGAAGGGAGCUUGACUGUGACACCGACGGGUGGAGCAGGUACGAAAGUAGGGCUUAGUGAUCCGGUGGUAUGAAAGUGGGAUUGCCAUCGCUCAACGGAUAAAAGCUACCCUGGGAUAACAGGCUUAUCACUCCCAAGAGUUCACAUCGACGGAGUGGUUUGGCACCUCGAUGUCGGCUCAUCGCAUCCUGGGGCUGUAGCAGGUCCCAAGGGUUGGGCUGUUCGCCCAUUAAAGCGGUACGCGAGCUGGGUUCAGAACGUCGUGAGACAGUUCGGUCCCUAUCCGGCGCAGGCGUAGGAUAUUUGAGAGGAGCUGUCCUUAGUACGAGAGGACCGGGAUGGACAGACCGCUGGUGUAUCUGUUGGUGACCAACACCAUGGCAGAGUAGCCAAGUCUGGCAGGGAUAAACGCUGAAGGCAUCUAAGCGUGAAGCCCCCCUCAAGAUGAGAUAUCCCAAUAAGUAAGACCCCUUAGAGAGUAUGAGGUAGAUAGGCUUAAGGUGUAAGCAUAGUAAUAUGUUCAGCUGAUAAGUACUAAUAGGUCGAGGGCUUAUCAA
rnacentral:rRNA from 1 species